CCUACGGGUGGCAGCAGUGGGGAAUAUUGGACAAUGGGGGCAACCCUGAUCCAGCCAUGCCGCGUGUGUGAAGAAGGCCCUCGGGCUGUAAAGCACUUUCAGUGAGGAAGAACGCCUGGUGGUUAAUACCCAUCAGGAAAGACAUCACUCACAGAAGAAGCACCGGCUAACUCCGUGCCAGCAGCCGCGGUAAUACGGAGGGUGCGAGCGUUAAUCGGAAUUACUGGGCGUAAAGCGCGCGUAGGUGGCUUGAUAAGCCGGUUGUGAAAGCCCCGGGCUCAACCUGGGAACGGCAUCCGGAACUGUCAAGCUAGAGUGCAGGAGAGGAAGGUAGAAUUCCCGGUGUAGCGGUGAAAUGCGUAGAGAUCGGGAGGAAUACCAGUGGCGAAGGCGGCCUUCUGGACUGACACUGACACUGAGGUGCGAAAGCGUGGGUAGCAAACAGGAUUAGAUACCCCGGUAGUC
rnacentral:rRNA from 1 species